GACGAACGCUGGCGGUGUGCUUAACACAUGCAAGUCGAACGGUAAGGCCCUUUCGGGGGUACACGAGUGGCGCACGGGCGAGUAACACGUGAGUAACCUGCCCUCAUCUCUGGGAUAACAGUCGGAAACGGUUGCUAAUACUGGAUAUGAGCUUGCAAGGCAUCUUGUGGGUUGGAAAGAUUUUUUUGGUUGGGGAUGGACUCGCGGCCUAUCAGCUUGUUGGUGAGGUAGUGGCUCACCAAGGCUUCGACGGGUAGCCGGCCUGAGAGGGCGACCGGCCACAUUGGGACUGAGAUACGGCCCAAACUCCUACGGGAGGCAGCAGUGGGGAAUAUUGCACAAUGGACGGAAGUCUGAUGCAGCAACGCCGCGUGCGGGAUGACGGCCUUCGGGUUGUAAACCGCUUUCAAUUGUGACGAAGCUUUUUGUGACGGUAGCAGUAGAAGAAGCACCGGCUAACUACGUG
rnacentral:rRNA from 1 species